GGCUAGGUAGCUCAGUCGGUCAGAGCGCGGCACUCAUAAUGCUGAGGUCGGCGGUUCGAUCCCGCCCCUAGCCACCA
rnacentral:tRNA from 1 species